UAAAGAAAAACCCUUGAAUGAGUAGGUAGUGUCCAAACUUUUGACUGGUGCUGUAGCUAGAAAAGUAGAUGAAAUUGGAUGAAAUACCUGGCUUUACUUUGUGUGUGUACACGGUGGACAGCAGGGUACAUUGGGUUGGUGCUGUUUUACUGUGUAAACUACUGACCAAGUGCCUUCACAGAUAAUAUAUUUUGCUUAGCCUGAGUGCCGGUCUGUUUGUGCUGUAUUGCCAACGAUCGAGCGACAAGGAGUUGGCAAUAGAGAACAAAAAACAGAUUUGCACUCAGGCUGUUAUUGACUUAUUAUAGCCCAGAUAAUAUAUCUUCUUUUAGAUGUUACUACCCCAUAUAUUUAGUGGAACUGGCAGAAUGAGGAAAUGAAAUGCUGUUGUAGAGCUACGUCAGUGGCACAACUCUAGGCAGACAGAAUGACAAUGCAAUGUAUAACGCUAUUAUAUAUGGGAGUCUAGUCUAUCAGUCGUUUAAAUCUUAAUUUUUUUUCAAUGUUUUGUCAGUCUAUUGGUACAUUGUUUAUCACCGCUAUUUGUCUUUAUUAUCAAUAACGGUAUCUUUACUAACCCUCCUGGAUACUGUGAGCCAAAGACACAUCCAUAAUCUACACCUCAAACUCUCUCAGAAACACUAGGUUCAAACGUAGUAAUGCAGUACUAGCUAGCUCAAUACUAGCUCAACAUGUUUAGUACUAGUAAUACUAGCUCAACAUGUUUAAUACUAGUAAUACUAGCUCAACAUGUUUAGUACUAGUAAUACUAGCUCAACAUGUUUAGUACUAGUAAUACUAGCUCAACAUGUUUAGUACUAGUAAUACUAGCUCAACAUGUUUAGUACUAGUAAUACUAGCUCAACAUGUUUAAUACUAGUAAUACUAGCUCAACAUGUUUACUACUAGUAAUACUAGCUCAACAUGUUUAAUACUAGUAAUACUAGCUCAACAUGUUUAGUACUAGUAAUACUAGCCCACCAACAUGUUUAAUACUAGCUCAACAUGUUUAGUACUAGUAAUACUAGCUCAACAUGUUUAAUACUAGUAAUACUAGCUCAACAUGUUUAGUACUAGUAAUACUAGCUCAACAUGUUUAAUACUAGUAAUACUAGCUCAACAUGUUUAGUACUAGUAAUACUAGCCCACCAACAUGUUUAAUACUAGCUCAACAUGUUUAGUACUAGUAAUACUAGCUCAACAUGUUUAGUACUAGUAAUACUAGCUCAACAUGUUUAAUACUAGUAAUACUAGCUCAACAUGUUUAGUACUAGUAAUACUAGCCCACCAACAUGUUUAAUACUAACUCAACAUGUUUAGUACUAGUAAUACUAGCUCAACAUGUUUAGUACUAGUAAUACUAGCUCAACAUGUUUAAUACUAGUAAUACUAGCUCAACAUGUUUAGUACUAGUAAUACUAGCCCACCAACAUGUUUAAUACUAGCUCAACAUGUUUAGUACUAGUAAUACUAGCUCAACAUGUUUAAUACUAGUAAUACUAGCUCAACAUGUUUAGUACUAGUAAUACUAGCUCAACAUGUGUAAUACUAGCUCAACAUGUUUAGUACUAGUAAUACUAGCUCAACAUGUUUAAUACUAGUAAUACUAGCUCAACAUGUUUAGUACUAGUAAUACUAGCCCACCAACAUGUUUAAUACUAGCUCAACAUGUUUAGUACUAGUAAUACUAGCUCAACAUGUUUAGUACUAGUAAUACUAGCUCAACAUGUUUAAUACUAGUAAUACUAGCUCAACAUGUUUAGUACUAGUAAUACUAGCCCACCAACAUGUUUAAUACUAACUCAACAUGUUUAGUACUAGUAAUACUAGCUCAACAUGUUUAGUACUAGUAAUACUAGCUCAACAUGUUUAAUACUAGUAAUACUAGCUCAACAUGUUUAGUACUAGUAAUACUAGCCCACCAACAUGUUUAAUACUAGCUCAACAUGUUUAGUACUAGUAAUACUAGCUCAACAUGUUUAAUACUAGUAAUACUAGCUCAACAUGUUUAGUACUAGUAAUACUAGCUCAACAUGUUUAAUACUAGUAAUACUAGCUCAACAUGUUUAGUACUAGUAAUACUAGCCCACCAACAUGUUUAAUACUAGCUCAACAUGUUUAGUACUAGUAAUACUAGCUCAACAUGUUUAAUACUAGUAAUACUAGCUCAACAUGUUUAGUACUAGUAAUACUAGCUCAACAUGUUUAGUACUAGUAAUACUAGCCCACCAACAUGUUUAAUACUAGCUCAACAUGUUUAAUACUAGUAAUACUAGGUCAACAUGUUUAGUACUAGUAAUACUAGCUCAACAUGUUUAAUACUAGCUCAACGUGUUUAAUACUAGUAAUACUAGCUCAACAUGUUUAGUACUAGUAAUACUAGCUCAACAUGUUUAGUACUAGUAAUACUAGCUCAACAUGUUUAAUACUAGCUCAACAUGUUUAAUACUACUAAUACUAGCUCAACAUGUUUAAUACUAGCUCAACAUGUUUAAUACUAGUAAUACUAGCUCAACAUGUUUAGUACUAAUAAUACUAGCUCAACAUGUUUAGUACUAGUAAUACUAGCUCAACAUGUUUAGUACUAGUAAUACUAGCUCAACAUGUUUAGUACUAGUAAUACUAGCUCAACAUGUUUAAUACUAGCUCAACAUGUUUAAUACUAGUAAUACUAGCUCAACAUGUUUAAUACUAGCUCAACAUGUUUAAUACUAGUAAUACUAGCUCAACGUGUUUAGUACUAGUAAUACUAGCUCAACAUGUUUAGUACUAGUAAUACUAGCUCAACAUGUUUAGUACUAGUAAUACUAGCCCACCAACAUGUUUAAUACUAGCUCAACAUGUUUAAUACUAGUAAUACUAGGUCAACAUGUUUAGUACUAGUAAUACUAGCUCAACAUGUUUAAUACUAGCUCAACGUGUUUAAUACUAGUAAUACUAGCUCAACAUGUUUAGUACUAGUAAUACUAGCUCAACAUGUUUAGUACUAGUAAUACUAGCUCAACAUGUUUAAUACUAGCUCAACAUGUUUAAUACUAGUAAUACUAGCUCAACAUGUUUAAUACUAGCUCAACAUGUUUAAUACUAGUAAUACUAGCUCAACAUGUUUAGUACUAAUAAUACUAGCUCAACAUGUUUAGUACUAGUAAUACUAGCUCAACAUGUUUAGUACUAGUAAUACUAGCUCAACAUGUUUAAUACUAGUAAUACUAGCUCAACAUGUUUAGUACUAGUAAUACUAGCUCAACAUGUUUAGUACUAGUAAUACUAGCCCACCAACAUGUUUAAUACUAGCUCAACAUGUUUAAUACUAGUAAUACUAGCUCAACAUGUUUAGUACUAGUAAUACUAGCUCAACAUGUUUAAUACUAGUAAUACUAGCUCAACAUGUUUAGUACUAGUAAUACUAGCCCACCAACAUGUUUAAUACUAGCUCAACAUGUUUAGUACUAGUAAUACUAGCUCAACAUGUUUAAUACUAGUAAUACUAGCUCAACAUGUUUAGUACUAGUAAUACUAGCUCAACAUGUUUAGUACUAGUAAUACUAGCCCACCAACAUGUUUAAUACUAGCUCAACAUGUUUAAUACUAGUAAUACUAGCUCAACAUGUUUAAUACUAGCUCAACAUGUUUAAUACUAGUAAUACUAGCUCAACAUGUUUAAUACUAGUAAUGCUAGCUCAAUAUUAGAUCAAAAUGUUUGACAGUUACCACAAUGAUUUCCCAUUCUUCACUAAAUGUUCCUAAGUACUGUAUACUGUAUUUACAUCGUUCGGUAUUUUUCAACCCCCCGGUCCCUGGACUUGUGCCGGUCCGUGAGAUACUGCUGACCAGUUCCCGGUCCUUGGUACCAAAAAAGGUUGAGAAACACUGACCAGGUUGGUUCAAAAUUAAGUGAUGUACAUUUAUCUUUUGUUUUCUAUCGCCCUCUAGUGGUGCUGAAAAGCUUCAACUCAAAGAACGCUGCAUCAUUAACUAGUACCAAAUCUCUCUUCCCCCUCAGCUCACUCUCACAAAGCUCAUCAGCGUCCUGCCUGCACAGCUCUUUGUAUUGUUUUAACAGAUUCUCCCAUUAACCGUUAUGCACAACGCAGCAGCUCUGCUCGCUCCUAAAAUGGAUGCCAAGAGAGCUCAGCCGCAUCCCAAACGGCACCCUAUUCCCUAUAUAGUGCACUACUUUUGAUAUAAGUUCUGGUCAAAAGUAGUGCACUAUAUAGGGAAUAGGGUGCCAUUUGGGACACAGUUGUGUGUUCACUUCCAGUGUGAUUUCCAAUAAGUGAUUUUGGGCCACUGAAUGUUAAUGUUAAAUCAUGUGUAAAAAUGAUAUUUUGACGCUUUAAAAGUAGAUGUCUUUAUUUUGUUAUUAUAUUAUUUACUGUCUGAACCCAGUGUUGUGUAUUAUAAAGGAACAGUGGUUUAAGCAAUAUCCUGAAAAAUACAUUUUGUCCAACAAUUGUUUUGAAGAAAACAAGAACAAAUGCAACCCUUAAAAAGUCAACAAGUGCUUAAAUGUAUAUUGGUAACACCUAGAAAUGUAUUUGAUGUUGAUAUUGUAUUCAGAUUGCAAUAUUUUCUUGUCGGACAAGAUGACGAGUUGACAUUUUACAUACUAGAAAACAUGCUUAACCAAUCGUAUUCAUAAUAGUUACUAUGGUUAUCGUCUAAACAUGUAGUUAUUUUUGUAAGCCUUUUAACUGACUUUACAAUCAGCUGCAAUAAAGUGACACGUGACAUGGA